rnacentral:lncRNA from 1 species
AUGCCAGCCCUAGCCACGGAAUCGGGGGGGCUGGGAGAGACACUGCAGCCUUGCGCCGGAGGCCCCUGGGGAACCCGGGCUGUGGAAUGGGACAAACCCAUGUUUGGGUUCGUGGCCGGCUGUCUGUGCGGCAGGAAUGCGCAGGUUCCCAGAUUCCAGCACCUUCGGCGGCCGCUAAUUGGAAACAGAGCAUCUCGCCGGUGUGACCCACACGGCAAGGGGGUGCCCGGACCCCGUCAGGACGUCCCACCUGCCCCCACCCUCUGCUGGGGGCUCGGCCAGCCCCCAUGGGAUGCCCACCCAAGGGCGGUGUGGGGCUGGCACGCCGCUGGCGCAGGGCAUCACAGGCUGUGGGGACGGGCGCCUGAAAGCGUCCGAACCCCCCGAGCAGGGGCCCUCCGUGCCCUCGCUGAGGAUCCUGACACUGCCUCCUCCCUCCCCCCGGAAAACCAGGGCCCCCGCUCCAGCCAGUCUGGCUGGGAACCCGGGAUUGAGCAACGGAGGAGGCGGCGGCAGCGGGUGCUGGAGGAAUGUCACGCUUGGGCGCUGGCCCCGACACACAUCUCCUCUGCAUGGGGCCCAGCGCCCCGGCUGGACCCGGGGAGAGGCGGCGAUGGAAGCGAGGAAGGGCCGCACACCGGGAAGGGGUCUCUGCUGCUGGAAGGCACCCAGCCACACAGGAACCCAGCCGUGGGGGCAGCAGGGCUGGCAGCAUCACCCACAGGGGCAGUGAGGAAUCCCCCAGGUGGGAGAAGAGACUCAGCACAGCCACCUUGGGCACAGGGAAUCCACAGCAAUGUGGGGAGCUGCUCCUGGGCACGGGGGAGGGGGAAAUCGCAGCACUGUGGGCUGUGUGUGAGCAGCAGCCUGCUUCAGGGUUUGAAAUGGUUCCCUCUGAAUGCUGCAAUACUUCAAAUAAACACUCUUAGCUUCUCCACUUUGCUAGUCCUGCAUCAAGAAAUGUCCCCAGAUUUCUCAUCCAGGGCAGGCAGCUCAGCACCUCCCCAACACGCAGAGCCUGAGGGUUCCCCCUAA